CAUUAGGAAGAACUUCCUGGUGGCAAGAACUGUCCAAUGCCAUAGAAUCCUAGGAGAUGCAAUUUGGUGAGGCAUGAACAUGCACCAGCAUCAAAACCCUUGUGAAACUUCAAUGAUUCUAUAGCAUUGAGCAGUGAUAACGUAGCGUCACACUGCAAUCAUUCUACAGAUGUACCUUAAAACACAACUUUACCAUUUUGUCUCAAAAUAACUUGGUCUUAACAAGACUCCGGUAAUUUUGAAAACGAUUCCGAAGAUAUCAGCGAGCUGUCGCUGCCAAAUAUUGUCUUCUAAUUCUCUAAAAUAUCCUAGAACACUGGCCUCUUUGCAGCCUAUGAGUGUAUUAAGAUCUCUUCAUUCCUUUGAAAUGUUUCUGUGCCACUUAUCUGUUGAAAUGAUAUGCAAAGCAGCUUGCAGCAACCACCCUCAGUGCAAACCGCAAGUCAUUGCUUGGAAAGAUAAUUUUUUUUGACUGCAGGGACAUCCCUUUAGGCUGAAACUAUAUCAGCUGUUUGGAGGAACAUUUCCUGGAAAUCUACACAAAGCAGAUGGGACCUUGCCCACGCACAGAUGCCUUCUGCUCCUGCCGGCUGCCAAUGCAACUACGAUUAAGACAAUCAGGAACAGUAAUUGAGCAGUUCUGAUAUCCUGGCAAUAAUGUGAUGUGAGUGGGCAGCGUUCUCCUCUUCCUCCCUGGCAUCAAGAAGUGAAGUAAUCUUGCUUUACACAUGGUUUUUAAACAAAUAUUUGCCAUAAUUGCCAUUGUGGGUCGCCAGGGUGCUGCAAUUAUACAGUGCCCUUAAUUUGUAAGAAGCCUUGAAAAGGUGCAAAUGUGGCAUAAAAAGGAAAAAAAAAACAUUAAAUAUCACACCUACACUGUUUAGGCCAGACACAAGUAAGAAGGCAGGGUCAAGCAAGGCAGUGCAGAAGACUGGGAGAAUGUUAAAACAUGAAGUGCAACCCUAGUGCUAUUGGAGAAAAGUCUGAAAAUUAUUAUUCCCAUAUGAAUUUGUUUCCAUCUGCUUAACACCAUUGCUGCAAGGCAAUAAACUGGUGUGAUAAAACUGUAAAAUAUAGCUCAAAAAUGUUUAAUCUGUAAUAACAAGUAUGUUUCAAGCCUAUGCAUGUCUACUUCAGCUUCAGACUACUACCACUGUUCAUCAUUUCUAAAUUUCAGCUUUCAGUUUACAAAUCUUGUGAACCCAUUGCAUUUCUCUCUCUGUGUGUGUGUGUUUAUAUAUCUGCCGAUUUAGAAUAAUCUGUCAUUGCAUUAAACGGAGAAUUCUAGUCCACAAACCCGAAUGCCAUAAUAAAUAUCUUAUUCUUAAACAUGUUUGUUGUCCAUGGGUAACACUUAUAUUGAGUGUAUCUAUGCUAUAGAAUUAGUGCAAUUUGAUACCACUUUCAUUUCCAUGACUCAGUGUUAUGGAAUGAUGGUGAUGUUGAGCACCGAAAUUAAUAAAAUUAUGAAAUUGAGACCACAGCGAUCAGAGUUCAGCUGACCUGUUAUGCGGACAAUUGGAGGUACAGAGGAGCACAGAAGCAGCUGCCAUUAUCCCGAAUACAUUCUAUCUUCUCCCUUUAUUACAAAAAAUAACCCCUUCAAUAAAUGUGCAUUGUGGUGUGUUAUCCUAUAUUUUGAUUCUUUGCAUCCUUUUUGUCUCCUGUGUCUUUUCCUCUCUUCUUUUGCAUCUUGCAGCCGGCCCCGAUAACCACCUAGCCCCGUAGUCCCCACGGCCCUCAGAGCGGGGUUGCCUUCCUUACCUUCCCCAACAUAUAACCCCAACUGUCCCCCAAGUCAACCCUUGCUCCGUGGGUACCCCGGUUCCCGUGUUUGCGAGCCCCCGAUAACCACAGACCCCCUGUAUAUAUAUAUUUUUUUAAUUUACAGUAUUUAUAUUCCGCCCUUCUCACCCCGAAGGGGACUCAGGGCAGAUCACAUUAUAUACAUAUAGGGCAAACAUUCAAUGCCCAUAUACACAUAGAACCAAGAUAGAAACAGACGCAGAGGCAAUUUAACUUCUCCUGAGGGGAUGUUCGAUUCUGGCCACAGGGGGGAGCAGCUGCUUCAUCAUCCACUCUGAUGGCACUUCCUCAUUCCAACGUCGUAAAUUAGUUAAAUUUGCCUCCCCACUUUAUAAGUGGUACCUUAUUUCCUACUUGAUAGAUGCAACUAUCUUUCAGGUUGCUCGGUCAGCAACGACCAGGGGCUAUUUUUUUUUAAUUGACGGGUGCUCACCCCGCCACAGGCUGGCCUCAAACUCAUGACCUCAUGGUCAGAGUGAUUUAUUACAGCAGGCUGCUCACCAGCCUGCGCCACAGCCCAGCCCGGCCCUGCGCCACAGCCAUAUUUUGUGUUUCAUAUAAAACUUUUGGAAAUCAAGACCCAGCUGUAGGCGGAAUCUGGACUGCUCCCUCAGAAGUCCCAGGACUUCUGAGGGCACUGUCUGCAAAGCCCUCUUUCCGGGCUCCAUAAACCUGGAAUAUCCGAGAGGGCACCCACGCUCUCCCAAACCCCCUUAAAAACUGGUUAAAAUUU